GCCGGAGUGGCGGAACAGGCAGACGCACGGGACUUAAAAUCCCGGGGGUGUUAUGCACCCGUACCGGUUCAAGUCCGGUCUCCGGCACCA
rnacentral:tRNA from 3 species